AGGUAUGGUGAGAGAAACAGGCUUUGACAUAUCAGUAGCUAGUGAGAUAAUGGCUGUGUUAGCUCUUACAACUUCCCUUGCCGACAUGAGAGAGAGGCUUGGAAGAAUGGUGAUAGGGAACAGCAAGUCAGGUGAGCCGAUUACUGCUGAUGAUCUUGGUGUUGGAGGUGCCUUGACUGUCCUAAUGAAAGAUGCUAUUCAUCCAACCCUCAUGCAAACUCUUGAAGGCACACCAGUGUUAGUACAUGCUGGACCGUUUGCUAACAUUGCUCAUGGAAACUCUUCAAUUGUUGCUGAUAAGAUUGCUUUGAAGUUGGUUGGGAAGGGUGGCUUUGUUGUUACUGAGGCAGGUUUUGGUGCUGAUAUCGGAACUGAGAAGUUCAUGGAUAUAAAGUGUAGGUACAGUGGAUUGGUGCCACAGUGUGCUAUUAUUGUGGCCACAAUUCGAGCUCUUAAAAUGCAUGGAGGGGGCCCAGAUGUUGUGGCUGGGAAGCCUCUAGAUCAUGCAUAUGUGAGCGAAAAUGUGGCCCUUGUUGAAGCUGGAUGUGUCAAUCUUGCUAAACAUAUAUCAAACACAAGGGGUUAUGGAGUUAACGUUGUAGUUGCAAUCAACAAAUUUGCAACAGAUACUGAAGCAGAAAUGGAUGUGGUGCGAAAUGCAGCUAUGGCUGCUGGAGCUUUUGAUGCUGUCGUCUGCACACACCAUGCCCAUGGUGGUAGAGGAGCGGUUAGUUCCCUUUCUUUCUAUUGAAUAUAGACAGCAGCCCUGUUUUGUCGGAAUACUUAACUGUAAAUCUGCUCUAAUGUCAACAAAACUUCGUUAUUUUUCAACUUGCCAAGCUAGUACAAAAGAACUGCAGUCUUAUAUACUUUUAUGUGGCUAUGUCAGAUUAUAGUAAUUCAUGGCUUCAUUGUUAUCUAAAAUGGUAUGAAUGUCAGAAUUGUGGGAAUUAAUAUAAUCAUCUAAUUAGAUCCUUCCGUUUAACUUCUUUUCAGGUUGAACUUGGACUCGCAGUUCAACGAGCAUGUGAAAGCCAGGCAGAGCCUCUGAAAUUUUUGUAUCCUUUGGAAUCUAGCAUAAAGGAGAAGAUUGAAUCCAUAGCUAGGUCUUAUGGUGCUAGCGGCGUCGAAUACUCAGAACAGGUACUUCCUUUGUGUUUGAGAUUUGAUUCAUUCAUAAAGUCAUAAUAUUUUGCCAUACCCUGCUCUGCUGACUUCUAUCUGACUUUGCUGCAGGCUGAGAAGCAGAUUGAGAUGUACACCAAGCAAGGCUUCUCCAACCUCCCCAUCUGCAUGGCGAAAACCCAGUACUCGUUCUCCCACGUUCCCUCCAUGAAGGGUGCCCCGACCGGCUUCGUUCUACCGAUAAGAGACGUGAGGGCCAGCAUUGGAGCUGGGUUCAUCUACCCGCUCGUGGGCACCAUGAGCACGAUGCCCGGCCUUCCCACAAGACCCUGCUUCUACGAGAUCGACAUCGACACUGCCACCGGGAAGGUCAGGGGCCUGUCAUAAAUUG
rnacentral:lncRNA from 1 species